rnacentral:tRNA from 2 species
GCUGGUGUAGCACAGAUGGUAGUGCACAUCACUCGUAAUGAUGGGGUCGCAGGUUCAAGUCCUGUCACCAGCA